UGCCAAUCUGUUUUUAUUUAUUAAAUAAAUAUUUGUUAGAUAUAUAAUGUUAUAAUGCUGGUAUGGUAUGUCUUGUCUUAAGAUACUUUAAUGUGCAGUAGUAGAAUAAUAAUGAUCAAAUGAUAAUUUUGAAUUAUCUGCCCCCUACCAAAAAGGGACUAAUUAUAAAAGGUAAAAAUGGCAUUAAAAAAAUAUUAUUUGAGCCUCUAUAAUGAUACAAUCCUAUUUGCAGAAGGGAAAAAUAUCAUGUAUUUUCAACGUUACCUAUUCGGCUCUUCCUGCUAAUUAAUUAUUUUCUACUAACCGACUUGUUUUGAUCCAAUCAAUCGUAGCCGUCCAUCUGCCGCCAACUCCAGCUAUAUAAACUUCGGUUUUGUGUAAUCGACUGGAUUACUUCCUCCGUGUGGUGCGAUUUCUUUUUACUUUCCCCAAUCUAGUAUGGCGGCGAGGAUAGAUGGGUUUACGAUCAAUGUCAAAUAUUUGGGUUCAGUUUUAAAGAGAAGGCAGUUAUGGGCUUAUACAGUGGCAGAGGGAGUAUAGUAUGGCGAUAUUAAGAACAAGCUAUGGGUUUAUCUAAGUUGGCUCUUACGGUGUGGCUGUCUGGUCAUGUUGUUGCCUGUUGGACAUUGAUGUAGUGUUUAUGGAGGGUUGCAUAGGGAGUAUAGUAUUUUUUGUUCACCACUUAUCUUCCACCUAGAUUUUCAUCUUAUUAUUAUCCUCUUCAAUUUGCAGAGAUCUUUUGUGGUCCCUGAUUAGUUUGCAUCAGAAGGCAGUUCUGGUUUGGUGGCUAGGUUCCCUUUGCUCUGAUUUUUCAACUUCUCUAUGUUAUUUAAAUAUGGAAAUUGUUUUUCUCUCACCGUGUGACAGGAUUACGAAUAAUUAAUGGUUCUAUCCAAGUUGGACCUUAUGGUGUGCCUAUGACAAAACAUGAACUCUUAGAUACCGGCAUUGAUUUAGUGUUUAUUGUAGGUAGAGAGGGAGUAUAGUGAUUUUUCUGCACCAUUUAUCUUCCACUUAGAAUUUCCUCUGGCUUAUCUUAUCCUUAUCAAUUUCCAGAGAUCUUUGGGUGGUUCUUGAUAAGUGACCAUCUGAAGGCAGUUCUUGUUUGAUGCUUGGCUCCCUUUGGUCUGUUUCAUCAACUUCUAUUUUUUUUUAUGUAGAUAUGGAUAUUGUUUUUCAACUCACCCUGUGACAGAAGGAAUUCAGAAUAAGUUGCGGUUCUAUCCAAGUUGGUUCUUCUGGUAUGGCUGUCUUUGUCCUUUUGUUUGACAAAGACUACUCUUUGAUACUGGCUUUGAUAUAAUGUUUAUGGCGGGUAGUAGAGGGAGUAUAUCAUUCUUUUACACCAAUUUUCUUCCACGUAGAACUUCCUCUUGCUUAUUGUUAUGCUCUUCAAUUUCCAGAGAUCUUUGGGUGGCUCUCGAUCAGUUUCCAUAAGAGGCAGUUCUGUUUUCAUGCUUGGUGUCCUGUGGUCUGUUUCAUCCACUUUACUUUAUUAUGUAGAUAUGGUUUCUUCUUUCCUCACCCUGUGAUAUGACAGGCUGUCAGUGGUACACAAUAGUUUUUCCAAUUCAUUUAUUCUUCUAUAUAGACUUUCUUGCUGCUUAUUGUAUGAUUUACAAUAUCCAGAUCUUAUCUUUUGAUGGGUCUUAAUUGAUUUUCAUUGGAA